rnacentral:rRNA from 1 species
UACGAAGGGGGCUAGCGUUGCUCGGAAUUACUGGGCGUAAAGCGCACGUAGGCGGCUUUCUAAGUCGAACGUGAAAUCCCCCGGGCUCAACCUGGGAACUGCCCUCCAAACUGUUUGACUUGAGUCCGGGAGAGGUGAGUGGAAUUCCCAGUGUAGCGGUGAAAUGCGUAGAUAUUGGGAGGAACACCAGUGGCGAAGGCGGCUCACUGGACCGGAACUGACGCUGAGGCGCGAAAGCGUGGGGAGCAAACAGG